UGGUUAUUUAGCAGAAAUUCACAGUAAAUUCACAGUAAAACAGGACUGUUCGGCUAGAAGUAUUUAAUUAGUCCUCUUACAUUUCUCAGCAUUGAUCAUUGAUUUUGUAAACGUCCAAAACAUUUUAUCGAAUGGUUAUUUUACAUAAUUUUUAAAAAAUCUUAAUGUACAGAUAUUUUGAUAAAACCAAUUAAGGCUAAUUUUAACAUUCGAAAAACGAGCAAACGGAGAAAUAUAUAGGCUGCACAAAAAAAAAAUACAUUUAUUUAUUUUUAAUGCCUAGAUAUUUUCCUGCAUAUUUUAAAAAUUAUAAAUUCUAUCCGUUAUUACUGUUUUGAAAAAGGCUUUCUAAAGCGCAGAGAGAGCGGCUUCUUUAGAGUAGGAGGUUUUUGUCCGACCACUGAACGAGUUUGUAUCACUGUGGUACACUUUUGGUGGCGGAACAAAAAUCUCAAUUGGACGUAAGUAACUUUUACUGCUUAUCCAAAAGUUGGUAUUUUCUGUAAUCAUAAUCGAUAUGUUUGAUGUUUGAUAAUGAUGGAGACUUAAAAACGUUGCGAUUGCAUUUAUUGUGAUUUACGGAGCAACAGCUAUUACGACGUAAUUUAUCUAAUAAUAGAAUGUAUGUGUGUAUUUUAUUUUAUUAUUUCAAAUAUCUAAAAGGCUUUUGGAUAAGUCCUUUAUUAGUUUUCUAAAGCAUUAAUUUCGAAGCUACAUAUUACGCGGUAAAUGGUGGAGAGAGCGGAGUGUUUAGAUCAGGAGGUUUUUGUACAGACAGUAAACGAGAUUGUAACACUGUGGUUGACUUUCGGUGGCGGAACAAAACUAUCAAUUGGACAAAAGAAAAACAAGCGUCUUUGGGGUUGUAUCGUUCACUAACGCUGAAGCUAAACUACGGCGCUGUGAAGAGAGGAGACGGCAGUGUGUUUAGAGCAGGUUUAUGUACGGACCUUAAACGAAGUUAGUGUGGAGGACACUGGACUUAAGAAGAACUUCACUUUUUAUUCACAGUAAAUCACAGUUUUAAGUGACGCCCCGCCCACCCUCACGGUCCUGCCCCCCUCCAGUG